CAAUAAAUCUCAGCUGACUUUCGGGUGGUCAGAAUAUUAUCAAAAUAUAUGUACAUAUAAUGCGUAUAUACAACAAAUUUAGAUGUUAUAUAUUUGACCUGACAGCGCGUGUAUGGAAAAGUUCCUAGAGCUCUGAAAAAAAAUUGUUAAAAGAUGAUAAGAAAUGCUGGGGAGCUAUCAAAACAAAUCGAGGAUCGGAAGUUCGUUCUGUCAAGCACAUCAGGAGAGCUGGUGUGAACCGGUUUACAAUUCAAUGGAACAGCCUUUAGAUAAGUUAACCUGGAACUAUCGUACGUUGUUUACCAAACUGAUGUAAUACAUUGUUUUCAUUACAUGUCUCGAGGCUUCGGCGUUGCUUUACAGAUAAGCGCAUUUAUUAACUUGAAUUAAUGAUGCGAUAAAACUCAUUUGCAAUCUAACUGUCAGUAUUUGACCUCAAUACAACGUUAAUAACCAUACAAAAUGGCACAUCAAUUUGAUUUGGACAGACAACAGCUGGUUCAGCCGUCGUCCACUUUAUCAUGAUGUCAAACACACUUAACAUGCUGAUAAACUCAUUUAACAUCAUGAUUAUCAUUGUCAAUUGCAAAGCGGUUCGCACAUUUCCCCCAGCUCGUUAGUUAUGAGCAAAAUGAAAUAUAACCAAAGUGCAUUGAGCCGCAAGGAAAAGGCGGAAGGUGCAAGAUAAAUGAAAUUUGAAUUGAACGAAGUUUGAAUACCCUGUAAUAUAUAUAUAUAUAUAUGAGUUUAAAUAUGCAUAUUAUAUGUUAGAGAGCAGAGAGUACUUUUAGAAUGUUUAGAAUGAAAUAUUGAAGAAUCCUCGCUCUAACAAUAUCCAUCAGGAAAAACAUAUUCCGGUAUCUCAGAAGCCAUGGUAUAUAUUCAUUCUGGAUUAUUUGUGUUAAAUAUGAAAAAUAACACAUGCGUGAAAUCUUCCUAAUUAUCUCGAUUUUGUCA